AGGGGUGUAGCUCGAAUGGUUAGAGCGACUGAUUCCAAAUCAGUAGGUUGGGGGUUCGAGUCCCUCCACCCCUGCCA
rnacentral:tRNA from 1 species